AGUAUUCUCAAGUCUGCCGAAGGGAAGACUUGCAGUGUCUCUAAAAUCCCUCAAAAAAACAAAAAAAAUAUAUAUAUAUAUACAUAUAGUGUCGAAUAUAAUUAACAGCAAUUCGGUUUCGAUUUAAGACAGGCGCGUUGAUUCGAUCUAAACGUGAACACGAAGUCUGUUUCAGUGAAUUUAACCAGGAAUCUAUGUUAAUAUUAGUGAGUUCGAAUUGUUUUCAUUCGAAACGCCUUCAAAAGUUGUUUUUAUUGGAAUUUAGAUCAACUCGGAAAUGUCACAUGAUAAAAGUGGAUGCAAAUAGAGGGGGAAAUCACGUGUUUGACACAUUCUAACCUCAAUGUAGCAACUAGUUUUUAUAUGGAAAAUCCUUGAAAAUCUGUGAACCAUAGUAUAAUAUCGAUUAGUUUCUCCGUCGACGGCGUUCCGUAGGAUAAAAAGCAGCAACAGGGCAGUGGCGUGAACUUAACAUUUCUUCCACUUUUCCAUGAUACAAUUUAGUCUUCGAAACCGCCGCUAGGGAGCUCCGAACGCAGCGCAUGACCAUUGGUUUACGCAUGAAUGCCGCCCCUGCUGUUAGAACCGCCCCAAUCCCUUCUAGACUAUCCCCACUUGUCGACGAGCUUCUCCUCCGACGGCGUUCGGUGGGGGACCGUAAAGUUAUGAAGGGGAGACAAUAAACACAUCGUUAUGGUAAAACUGUAUUGAGAGUUGUUUUAUUUCACAUAAAAUUGUUAACUGUAUCUCAAUAUUGAUUUAUGUUUGUAUUUAUAAUUUUAAAUGUCCAUACCACAAGGUCGAACAUGGAGAGUUUUUUUAUUAGGGUAGAAAUUAAUUUUCUCUACACAUGUCAUUGAUAUAGGAUGAAUUUUAUUACAUACACAUUAUUUUGACGCAAACCGUUUUCGAUACUUCGCUCAGAUUUAAGAAUUAGUGGCUUUCUUCAAACCUAAAAUAAAUUGGGAAAAAAAUUUAUCAAGAAGACAAUAUUUGUAAAUUAAUUACAAGAUAGAAUAGAAAAAAUUUCUUAGAGUGAAUUGAAAGCCGAAAAAACAAAUCAAAAAAUCUUUUUAUUAUAUUUUGAAAUACCGAAAACUGAAUGAAAUGUUAAUAUAGGGUGAUAAAACAAAAGAAUUCAUCGAGAAAUUGAGUGGAAAAGGAUUUUUAAGCAAUACGUUAUGGAAAAAUAUUUUAACUGUGGUCGUAAAUAACAGAUACAAAGGUGAAAAAAGUAGAUAAUAAAAAGCUUGAUUUUCAUCACUAGAUUGCUAUUUAUACCAUUUUCAGAUUGCUUCCAAUUGUCCCUUCUUUUGGAUCCUGAAUUAACAUUCUUCUUUAUAUCGUUAAGAUAUUACCAGGAAUUCUACGUAAAUACCAGGUAACAAUCAUCAAUGGUACUUCUUCCAGCUCUUCAUCUUUAUGCAACAGUUCCAGUUUCCUGGAAGCACCAUCGGAAUCGUACUUUGGGAAACAUUCAGUCGAUUUGGAAUUGGAAUUGGAAACUUUUGGUUUUGAAUAACAUCAAAGGAAAAAAAAA